rnacentral:misc_RNA from 1 species
CGUGGAUUUGCUUGGUUCUGAUUUGCUCUGGACGUCACCAGAUUCAGUUGGAGCAAUGUGUUUUUUCUUACUACUGUCUUCCUGGUUUUUUGUUGCAUUGUCAGUUGAUUGUUUCUUUGAAUCAACCACAAUUUCCUUGACAGCUUCCUCUAGCUUAUCCAGUCUCACUUUCACCUCCAAAAGCUCUGGAUUAGAUCUAGCUUCUUUUUCUUCAAUUGCUUUUAGUUCCAU